rnacentral:lncRNA from 10 species
GCCAAGGUUAUGACAUGAACUGACAAGACCAAAAAAAAAAUCAGUUUUUCUGAUGCUUCAGCCUUUGCAAGCAUAGGAAAGAAUUAAAAAAAAAAAAAAAAAAAGCCCUGUGGCAUGAGUUAUAGAUGAAGUAUCUGCCUUUAGCUUGGAAUUUCCUGGCAUUUUUCAGCCUGUGACACAGACUUGAUGUGAUUAAACAAAGGCUUUUCUCCAAAUUUAAAGCUCUUAAAAAAAAAAGCUGAAUCUAAUACUCUAACUUGUUUUUAAAUGGGAGCAGAUGCCUCUGUUUCUUGAGCUGACUUCCAGAUUCUGAGAAAUAAAUGAAGAGUGGAGGCUUGUUUUGGUAGAGGCUGAGAAAAGGAGUUGGCCAUAUUUGCCCUUCAGAACUUCGUGUCAUCCCCCAGCUCCCCAACGGCAGGGCCACAUUCUUUCACAGGACGGAGUUGGGGCAGAUUAUGGCUUCCUCUGGAUUGGAUUUCCCUUGGCUUCCCUGAGGGCAAUCCCCCGAGGAAGCACAUCCUGGAGCCAAACUCACCCAAUGAACCACAGCAACAGCUCCUAGGAGAAUGAAGAGUGUGAAUGGAUGGCCUUUUCAAAAUGAUGAGCCUGGAAGAGUUACAGACUCUGGCCCGAAAGAACCAAAGUUGAAGGUAGAGAUGUUUUAAGGAUGAGCAGAGCAGAACAACUUAGCAGUGGGAUGUUAAAGGCAACAUGAAUCAACCACUCCCUGCUAGAAUGGAAGAUUCAUGGGAGCAGGAACCUUGUUUACUAUGUUCCUUAUUGCAAUCCUAAUGCCUGGAACUCUAACUAAUACGUAGGAGGACUCCACAAUUCAUUGAAAACUGAAGAAAUGAAUUCACUUGCGCAUUUCCAGUUCCAUUCCUGAACUCUUCCUUUAGUGAGAAGCACAUGAUGACCUUGUUAAUAUGAAAAUUGAUAAUGGGGUGAGAGAAGAAAAGAAAAGCAUAAAAUACCUGUCUAAUCCAUGCACCACCAGACACCAGAGCAUGUGGGAAGUGGCCAAGAAGAUGAUGCAGGGACGUCUGAGCCCACUUUCUUAUUGGACUUUCCUAGACAUGGUAAUUAGAAACCAGGAAGACUGAGAAGGAAUCAAAUUUGCAGCAGCUCAGUAAGUGGUAGACUGGGAACAAGAAGCCAGUUCUCUGGGCUCUUGAAGCAAGGCCCUGCCACGUUGUCUUUCCCCAGGAGAGGAGGAAACUGGGGAGGGAAUCAUGUUCCAGCAGUGAAGAACAAAGGCAGUUUUUUGGGGAUUUACAUACGCCAUCUCCUACAAAGUUAAAAAAUUUUCUUUUCCUGAAAGACUACAAUCAAGAUACAAACAUGUACAAUGGGUGAAGUGGAUUAACAAGUUUGUGUCAUGUUAAUUAUAUAUUUCAAUAAAGAUAAUUUUGGAACUAGUUUUAUGGAUGUAAAUAUAAAUUACAAGUUAACUAAAUUAUAUUGAGGAUGCAAAUAACUUUGGAAAUAAUUAUAGGUGUAAUCAGCCAUUUGAAAAUAAAAUGAAUACAAUUAAAC